rnacentral:rRNA from 1 species
GCCUAACCUAACAUACAAUAAUAUACUACUUGUUCGCCAAACAACUACGAGUAAAAACUUAAAACUUAAAAGACUUGACGGUACUUCACACCACCCUAGAGGAGCCUGUCCAAUAACCGAUACUCCACGAUUAACCCAACCUGCCCUAGCCAUGCAGUCUAUAUACCGCCAUCGCCAGCUUACCUUGUGAAAGAAACAAAGUGAACACAACAGCUACCACUAAUACGAUAGGUCGAGGUGUAACUAAUGGACAGGAAAAAGAUGGGCUACAUUUUCUAACACAGAAAACACGAAUAAACUAUGAAAGUAGAAACCGAAGGCGGAUUUAGCAGUAUGUUAAGGACAAAAUGCUUAACCGAAAUAAACGCAAUGAAGUGCGUACACACCGCCCGUCAUCCCUGCCAAAAAACAAUAAAACUUCAUAAACAUAAUAAACUAAUUAAACAGGGCAAGUCGUAACAUGGUAAGCGUACUGGAAAGUGCGCUUAGAAA